UGCAGGGGAGCCUGCUCGGCCCUGUCUACUACAUGAGGAAGGGUCUGCAGGGGAGCCUCCUCGACCCUGUCUAUGACAUGAGGAAGGGUCUACAGGGGAGCCUGCUCGACCCUGUCUAUGACAUGAGGAAGGGUCUGUAGGGGAGCCUGCUCGGCCCUGUCUACUACAUGAGGAAGGGUCUGCAGGGGAGCCUGCUUGGCCCUGUCUAUGACAUGAGGAAGGGUCUGCAGGGGAGCCUGCUCGGCCCUGUCUACCACAUGAGGCAAGACCACAGACACAGCUGCGGUGGGCGUGUGAGAAGCUGGGCUGGGAAAGUCCAUCUGGCUGUGGGCAGCCAGACUGAGGGUGGGGGCCCAGUUGGCCAGCCAGAUUCUUGGCUGGAGAAGACUGGAAGCAUCUGGAAGGCAUCAUUCCCUUCAACCAAUGGAUGCCGAGAGACCAAACAAGGCUACACAUCCUGGGGUGAUGAAACUCAGCUGCUUCUCUUAACUAUGUCGCAUCUUGCAAAAAACAGAGAACUGAGUGAGAACCAGGGAGAUGGAAAUAUAGAAACGCACGAAGGGAUAACCAUACAAGUAUACAGGGGGAAGAUGGAUGUCUGUAAACAGCCAAGGAGAAAGGACUCAGAAGAAAUCAGUCCUGGAGACAUCUCGACUUUUCUGUUUUCUAGAAAUGCAAGGUACCUCGUCCUACACUGCUUGGUCCUGGAAAUUUGACUGGGCAAUGAGCGAUAA